CUACGGGUUGCAGCAGUGAGGAAUAUUGCACAAUGGGGGGAACCCUGAUGCAGCAACGCCGCGUGGAGGAUGGCGCAUUUCGGUGUGUAAACUCCUUUUAUAUGUCAAGAAAAUGACGGUAGCAUAUGAAUAAGCACCGGCUAACUCCGUGCCAGCAGCUGCGGUAAUACGGAGGGUGCAAGCGUUACUCGGAAUCACUGGGCGUAAAGGACGCGUAGGCGGGUUGGAAAGUCAGGUGUGAAAUCCUACAGCUUAACUGUAGAACUGCACUUGAAACUUCUAAUCUAGAGUAUGGGAGGGGGAGAUGGAAUUAGUGGUGUAGGGGUAAAAUCCGUAGAUAUCACUAGGAAUACCUAAAGCGAAGGCGAUCUCCUGGAACAUUACUGACGCUAAGGCGUGAAAGCAUGGGGAGCAAACAGGAUUAGAUACCCGCGUAGUC
rnacentral:rRNA from 1 species